ensembl:lncRNA
GAGGAGGAGGAGGAGGAGGAAGCUGCUGCCGCGGGAUCUGCGGUGCGCGCCCGGCCCGUAUUCCAGAAGAGGGCAUCAGAUCCCAUUACAGAUGGUUUUAAGCCACCAUGUGAUUGCCGGGAAUGAAACUCAGGACCUCUGGAAGAGCAGUCAGUGCUCUUAUCUGCUGGGCCAUCUCUGCAGCCUUCCACUACCCUCUUAAGGUAUAUGCUGUCUGCUUGCAUUAUGUAGGAUAAAGAAAGGUGGGAAGAGGAUACCAGGCAGGCAUAGGGUAUGUCCACAGCUAGGAAUAAGUACCCUAAUGAGCAGGACUUGAUUUUCUAGGCAAGUCACCAGAUGAUAUAGAUAGCAUUAUUCUUCUCCAAGUGCUUUCCAAGGGUGUUAUGUCUCCCUCCUACCUAGCAAAUUUCAGUAGACACUAAUGUAGGAGAUGAUAUAAAGGUGGGAAUUGUCUAUCUUACCAAUAGCGAGAUUAAGGGCAGAACAAUGGGGUUACUUGAAUGUACUACUUAUAAAGGUAUUUGUUUUGAGAUACUUGUUAGAGUUUAGGGAAAUGAUCCAUCCAGCAGAAGCAGUUCUGGUGAUGUGACUUUAUGAAAGCCAGAAAAUGCUGCUGGAGUGUGAGGGCACAGCACGUCGUUUCUCCAGACCGUCAUUGCCUCUUGGCUCUCAUUUAAACUGUAUGGAUGUCCAGAUAUGGUUGAGAGUAUUCUGGUUCCCUGCAGGGGAUUGGUAGGAUGUAGCUGGCAAUUGGAUGGGCUAAUAAGUAGGUACAUGUAGUUCCUCAAUGUUAUGCUGGGGUCUUGCUUUUGGAUUUUGGGUCUUGACCACAAGAUCCAGUUUCUUAGGAAAUUCCAUUUUGUUUGUAUGAACAAACAAAAUGUAUAAUUUUUUAAAAUACAAAUAGGCCAGAUAAUUUGAACAUUAACCCCAAAUUAAGAGAAAUUGCUGGGUGUAGUGGUUCACAUCUUUAAUUCAUGAGGUGGGCAGAGACAGAUCUCUUGAGUUUAAGACUUUCCUGGUCUGCAGGCCAAUCAAGGCUACAUAGUUGAGACUUUGUCUCAAAACAAAACAAUUGACCAAGUAAGAGAAACUGAGUAAAUGUUGCAUCUCCUGAGUGCUAGGGUUAAUGGUGUAUCAUCUAAAUGGUCUUACCCCCCACCUCCUUCCAUAAAGAAAAUCAUGUUAGUCCUUCCUGUGUACAAAGGCCCUGGAACUUUGCUGCAGGAAACAGUGGUCUUUGUUGGGUUGCACUGUGUACUAGAAGGAGAUAGCCAAGCUCACUGUCAGGGUUCAGACCUACUCCUGUCCAAAUCAUGUUCUCUCUGUAAGCCACAAUUCUGACUUAUAAAAUGGCUUAUAAUCCUAAACCUUGAUGUGGAAAAGGAUGGCACUCUUAUGUGUGGCUGAAUUUGAGGGUGCAUCUUACUGUAUUAUUACUGUGCUGUAUUGCUAUCCAUUGGGUGUGAAAGGGGGAAACCAGUAGCAUUUGUUUUGGAAAGAACUGGGACUGUUUGUCCAGGUCUUUUCUACUUUGCAGUGGCCACUCUUCUUGGUUUCCACUCAAGGUCGAAAUUGCUUAUUUGUUUCUAGCUGCUGUUACAUCAAGAGACUUGUGCACCUUGUGAAGAUAGUGCCAAGGGAGAGGUAUUGCUGGGCUUGGUAUUAUGCAAUUUCCAGAAAUACUAAUUAGUAAUUCUUUUGUCCUUGAGUAUGGUUAGUAUCCCCAGUUGUCCUUCCUCAGGCAAUGAGACAAGACUACAGAUGUAAAAAAAAAAAAAAAAAAAAAAAACAGGAAGAGGACUAGUUAAAGGAGACUUAAAUUCGAGGACUUUCUAUGUGAAAUGGUUGGCAUUCACUUUGAGGAAGAGUGUAUUUUCUGGCAGCUGAUCAUCAUUGUGUGGUUGAAAUGAGAACCACAUGGAAUAUAGGGGCUGUCCGUGUGGUUCAGUGGUGGGGUGGGGUGGUCAUACAGGGCAUAAGGCUGUCUGCCCUUAGGCUACUGUAAUCUCCCAGGACUCAGUUUCUUGUAUAUAAAAUAGGGUGAAAGGAUUAGGUUGUAGAAUCUGGAGAUUGAGGGAAAGACUGUGUGUUUGUUUGUUUGUUUGUUUGUUUGUUUUUUUGUUUGUGGUGUGAUCUUUGUAACCCAGGUUUGCAUCUAACUGGGCAAUGCUUCAGUAGCUUUCUGAGUGCAGGGACAAGUGUUGAGUCACCUCACCCAACAGUAAUUCUUUAUCUUUUUUCAAACAGUGGGUCAUAAAAUGGAUUAGCGGGUUAAGAUAGGACAAAGAAUAUCAUACAUUCUAAGGCUAGUUCAUAAAACCUUUGCCUGAGUUUAUUUAUUGAAAUGUCUCUUAUCUUCUCUCCCCUCUUCUCCUUUUUAAUUUUAGACAGGGACUUUGUUGUUGUUUUGGAGACUGGAUUCUCUGUUCAGUCUUGGCUGUCCUGGAACUCACUCUGUAAACCAGGCUGGCCUUGAAGUUGAUAUCCACCUGCCUCUUCCUUCUGAGUGCUGUGAUUAAAGGCCAGGUGGCAUCACCAUACUGCUGGUUUUGGUUUUUAUUUUUUGAUUAGUUUGUGUUGCUUAGUGUUGUUGUUUUCCCACUUACCCAAGUGUGUUCUUGGAUAUGCUUUCUAGCAGCAGGUGAAACGCAGUUUCUGUUCUUUGUCCUCAGUGCUUGGUAGGAGUUUGUGUGUGGUAAGGGCUGAGGAAGCAGGUAGUAAAGAUCCUGCUAAGUGUUUGGAAGCAAGUGUUUAUAGACUGCUUAUGUAUUCUAUGUGUGCUGGGUUGUGCUG